rnacentral:piRNA from 1 species
UAGAAUGGAUCUGCACAGUGAGUGA